AGGGAAGAGUCACGCAGAGUGUACUGCAGUAAUCCAACCUUGAAGUCAAUAUCUGCACUCCUGUGGUCAGACUGUGAUCUAGGCAAGUACGAUGCAUCGUUGGUUGAUUGAUUGAUUGAUUGAUUGAUUGAUUUAUAGACUGCUUACGUACCACGCCAAAAUGACUUCUAAGCAGUUUGCAAGUAUAAAAUCAAUUGUAAAAUCAAUAUUUAAUUGAAAGGUACAAUUGAAUUUUAACAAGUUAACAGUUAAAAAGCACAGCAAUGGAGACAGUUAAAGAAUGGAAACAAUUUGGUCAAGAAGUUCAAGUUCCAGGAAAUGCUUGCUUAAAGACGUGCAUCUUUAGAAUCCAGCAGAAUGUCAAUAUUAACAGGCCUUCUUGGAUUUCAGCAUUAUCACAGUUUACUGACACCGCAGCUAGGCAAACCUCUCCAGGAUAUGCUCCCCCACCCUCUCUCUCUCUCUCUCUCUCUCUCUCUAUAUAUAUAUAGCCUGCCUUUGAAAUGGUACAGGUUUCUUAUAAGGACAGCUGGGAUAAUGGAUGUAAAGUAUUUUUAAAACUUUUUUUAAUAAACCCUUUAUAAAUUCUGAGCAUUACUGUAUUCUUUUCCUCUCCCUGAAACAUCCUGACUAUAAUAAGAGAGUGACAGUGGAUAGUUUGGAAUUAAUUUGUUUCUACUUGCAGUUGGGCCUCAUUAGCUAUUACUUAAGGUAGUCAAACGCUUUAUUUUAAGAAAUGAAACCCGAAUGAGUUCACAUCUGUUAAGAAUCCUUGGUUUGUUUCCUGUUGUCUACACAUUUCUUUAGCAUUUGAACAUUUCUCUCAGCCCUUGGAGUGAAAGAGGAUACUGUGUCAGCAGAGAUGAUGGUAUACAUUUAUCUAAAGUUUCCAUGGGUCUAAGAAACAGAGCAGUGCAAUGAAAAACAACUCUGAUGGAAGUCUGCAGGGCUCUGGGCUCAAAAACCUGUAAAGGUCAAUCUGAAAAAUAAAGCAUACAGUGCUCUUUUUGGCUAUAGCUGCAUUCUUAUCAGUCACUUAUUUGUAUGUUAACCUUGCUUCAAAAGCAGCUAUGGAGUUUUAAAGGGCCAGAUCUGGUGCAGAUAGCUGUGGACUCCCUGGAUAUGCAUUGAGGACAGUCACAUUGCAAUAGAUCACAACCUUCAUUUUCCAGAGUUUGGUUUUCCAAAGUUUACCAUUACCCAAAAUCAUUAUCUACCUCUCCAUGCAUAUAUCUGCCAUUGCAGCACCAUGUAAACACCACUGUUGUUUAUCUGAACAGCUGAUUUUGUUAAUACUUUGAAUGGUGAGCUUUUGGGGGGAAAGCUCUCCUGAAAAUAGUGAUUUCAAGCUGUUUCUACUGCUUUUUCCAUUGCAUUGUCAUACUUCCUGUGAAACAAUGCAAAGUAAAUGAGGUUGUGGAUCUUGCGCAUAGACUCUUUGGUUGCAGUGUUGCACACAGCUGCCCAUUAUUCCUCAGAUGUUUCACACUGUUCUCAUAGUUUUGACCAUUUGCCUGACUAUACAGUCAUACCUUGGUUUUCAAACAGCUUAUUUCUUGAACAUUUUGGCUGCCAAAUGCCACAACCCCGGAAGUGACUGUUCCAGUUUGCGAACUAUUUUUGGAAGCCGAACAUCCAAUGGGGCUUCUGCAGCUUCCAGUUGGCUGCAAGAGCUUUCUACAGCCGACCAGAAGCUGCGCUUUGGUUUCUGAACGUUUUGGAAGUUGAACGGACUUCCAGAACGGAUUCUGUUUGACUUCCAAGAUACGACUGUACUAAUUACUAUUGGUAUACAGACAGUAAUGACUGUGAUACAUUUGUCAAUAAUAAUAAUAAUGAUAAUGAUUUUAUUAUUUAUACCGUGCCCACCUGACUGGGUUUCCCUAGCCACUCUGGGCAGCUUACAGAACAUACCGUAUUGGCCUGAAUAUAAGCCUCACUUUUUCCCCAAAUUCCCACUGUGAAAAGUGAAAGUGUGGCUUAUAUUUGCAACCUUAGAGUAUGUAGCCAGGAGCACGGAAAAGCAGCGCCCACCCCGCACAUAGUCCACUGUCCGCUCCCCCAAGGCUGGGAAGGGAGAGAGUGAGGAAGGGGAAAGGCCUCCAGCAACACAGUGCAGCUCCUCGCCCCCUACCCAGUAUACAGCCAGGAGAAGCGAGGAAUGGAGCAGCUUAUAUUCAGGGGUUUUCCUUUUUCUCUCCCCCCCAAAUUUUAAAGGUGCGGCUUAUAUUCGGGUGUGGCUUUUAUUUGGGCCAGUUUGGGCCAAGUAUAAAAUAUAGCCAAUGGCAAUUAAAUUUGUUAUACCCAUGAAUGCAAUUAAUUAUACGUAUUAUGAUGAUGAUUAUGAAGAAGAAGCUGACAGCUUAAGACAUGUUGCCAUCAUGUUAAGAUAGUAUGAGUUCUUAAAAUUAAAAUGUUAACAUUAACAUGAUGUGUCCUAUCACUAAGAAAUUUGACAUGAAGCGUCACUGAGUGAGAAGUUAAAAUUUUAGAGAAAUGUUAUGAAAUAUUGCUGUUCCAAGUACAGUGGUACCUUGGGUUAAGUACUUAAUUUGUUCCGGAGGUCUGUACUUAACCUGAAAUUGUUCUUAACCUAAAGCACCACUUUAGCUAAUGGGGCCUCCCGCUGCCACCGUGUCACCAGAGCACGAUUUCUGUUCUCAUCCUGAAGCAAAGUUCUUAACCUGAAGCACUAUUUCUGGGUUAGCGGAGUCUGUAACCUGAAGCAUAUGUAACCCGAGGUACCACUGUAAUAUGUUUGGAGAUAAAUAUUUUUAACAUCAUCAACAUCAUAAUAUUUGUCAUACUUACUUUUUGAAUUUAUGUUGUGUAAAUAUAAUGUUGAGACAUUUUUCAGUUCUGGUGUCCACUAGACAUUUUAGCUGGUGGUCACCUGGUCUUGCAUUCAUCAUCUGAGGCCCUUUGUGUGCCCUCUCAAAGGGAUGUGCAAAGGAUGACAACGAGAGAAUGGACCUUUUCUGCCAUGACUCCCUAAACAUGGAAUGUUCCUGCCACAGAGAAUUCUGAUCAUGACGGUUGCUUGAUAGAGAGGAGCAUGUGAAUGUGUGUAGAAAUUAGUCUACUGUACAAAGUAAAAUUGGCAUUUAUUGUGCCAGCCAUCGUUGGCAUAUGGCAUCUGGAAGGUUGCCUAGUAAGAUGUGGCCCUCCCCUGAUCAAGGUGGCAGCUGCUGCUCAAACUGUUGCUUUCUUCACCCACUUGGACAAACAGCUUACUGCCUUCCAUAUGAAACUGUUGGCCAAAAAUGACAUGAAACAGAAAAGAAGAUAAAACAAUCGGCUGGCAGACAGAAAGAACGAAACAAGAGGGAAGCCAAUAUGAAAACCAGGUGGGAUACCACCAUGGACGUAGCCAGAAUUUUAGUAUUAUUAUUACAGUGGUGCCUCGCAAGACGAAAUUAAUUCAUUCCGUGAGUUUUUUCGUCUAGCGAAUUUUUCGUCUUGCGAAGCACGAAAUCCCAUAGGAAUGCAUUGAAAUUCAAUUAAUGCGUUCCUAUGGUCCAAACGUCCAAACAAAGCCAAAUUUGGUACAACAAGAGUUUAUUAAGUGCUCUUUAAAGUCACACAUACUGUAAAGAGCAUUUCAAAAAUUGAAGGAACAAUAAAUUAAGUUUCUAAACAUGACAGAAAAACAUUUAAAAAUCAACAAAGUGUACAGUACAUUUUCUAAGACUCUGGGGGACAACUCGAAGAAGGUUCCUCUUCCACUCUUUGCUUCUUGCUGAAGAACCUGUCCAUGGUCUGCUGCUUCAUCCGCCUUUUCAGCACCUCCCUGAAAGGCGACAUGACCCUCGUAUCAAAAGUGUUCACAAGGUCUUGUGCCACGUGCUUUUCAGGGUGGUGCCGCUGUGCAAAAGCCUGCACAUCCUUCCACUUCAGGCAAAUGUCCCUCAGUUCUUUGGAGGACAGCCGUUCCUCAGUUGCUUCCUCCUCUUCCAGCGAGGCCUGCUCCUGCGCAGCCUCUGCCUGCAGUUCGACCAGCUCCUGGGUGGUCAGCUCGUGGUCGUGCUCCUCCACCAGCUCGCUGAUGUCCUCCUCUGUGACCUCCAGGCCCAUGGUCCUCCCCAAGGCAACAAUGUCCUGCACCACUGUUGACUCUGGUGCAUCAGAGUCACUUGGUGCCACACAGUCCGGCCACAGGCUGCGCCAAGCGCAAUUCAAAUUUCUCUGGCUGAUCCUGUUCCAGGCCGUGGUGAUCAUCUUCAAGCAGGUGACGAUGUCGAAGUGGUCCUUCCAGAAUUCCCGCAGGGUGAUGGUGGUGCAAUCAGUCACCUCGAAGCAUCGCCUGAAAAGCUCCUUGGUGUAGAGUUUUUGAAAUUGGCGAUGACCUGCUGAUCCAUCGGCUGGAGCAGUGGCGUGGUGUUAGGUGGCAGGAACAUGAUGCUGAUGAAGCUGAACUCCUCCAACAAGUCCUCCUCAAGGCCUUUAGGAUGAGCAGGAGCAUUGUCCAUCAGAAGCAAAGCCUUCAGCGGCAGGUCGUUGUCCAGCAGGUACUGUUUGACAGCAGGGCCAAAAGCAAGAUUGACCCAGUCCACAAACAGCACACGUGUGACCCAAGCCUUACUGUUGGAUCGCCACAUGACACUCAGCUGCUCCUUGUCGACCUUGUGUUUCUUGAAGGCCCGUGGGUUCUCCGAGUGGUACACCAGCAGGGGCUUGAUCUUCAGGUCGCCGCUUGCAUUGGCACAGAAGAGCAGGGUCAGACGGUCCUUCAUGGGCUUGUGGCCAGGCAACUUGGCCUCCUCCUGUGUGAUGAAAGUCCUUUUGGGCAUCCUCUUCCAAAACAGCCAGGUCUCGUCACAGUUGAAGACCUGCUGUGGAACGUAGCCCUCCGUCUUCACAGCCUCCAGGAACUCCGCUGCAAAGUCUUCAGCCGCAGGAACAUCAGAACUGGCAGCCUCUCCAUGCCUGACCACGCUGUGGAUUCCAGAUCUUGCCUUGAACCGGUCAAACCAACCUCUGCUUGCCUUGAAGACUUCUGGCUCGCCUGAGGUUCCUGGCUGUUCCCGGAUGAGGUCUGCGUGCAAGGCCUUGGCCUUCUCACAAAUGACGGCCUCAGUCACUGUGUCCCCUGCAUGCUGCUUCUCUUCUAACCAGAUGAGCAGCAACUUCUCGACCUCCUCCAGAACAGCUGGGCGGUUCUUUACGAUCCUGGUGACUCCCUUGGCUGCAUCAGUCGCAAGGAUCUUCUCAUCUUCAGGAUGGUCCCGAUGGUCGAUGGAUUCCUCCCGUACUCCCUGGCGAGGUCUGUCACACGCAUUCCACCGUCGUGCUUCCGGAUGAUCUCCUUCUUCAUUUCCAGCGUCACCUUCUCCUUCUUCCUCUCGCCGGCCUCUGCAGCAGCAGUCUUCUUGGGUCCCAUGGCAGCACAGCUCCUACCUUCGCAGACUCAAAAAAAAAAAAAAGAAAGAAAGAAACAGUGCUUCACAUGCAAAAAAUUCAAAAGCACCCAGCCACCCACCACACAGAAAUUCAAACCCAGAACCAAGUCCUUGAAUUCCAAACACCCAACCCAAAAUCCAACCCCCCCAAAAAAAGUUUUAAAAGUUUAACUUACCAAAUGGCUGCAAAAGAAGUUUUGGAAAAGCUUCAAAAAUCGCCAAAGUCUUCUAAAACCUCAACUGUUCCCCCAGCCACCCACCCACCACACAGAAAUUGCAAACCCCUCCCCAACUGUUCCCCCAGCCACCCACCACACAGAAAUUCAAACCCAGAAUUAUUAUUUUUUAAAAAAACAACAUGGCCCAAUGGUCACAGAAAAUCAUAAAAAUGCAGAAAAAAACCACACAAGCUCCCAGAUUCUUGCAAACCCCUCCCCAACUGUUCCCCCAGCCACCCACCACACAGAAAUUCAAACCCAGAUUUUUUUUUAAAAAACAACAACAACAUGGCCCAAUGGUCACAGAAAAUCAUAAAAAUACAGAAAAAAACCACACAAGCUCCCAGAUUCUUGCAAACCCCUCCCCAACUGUUCCCCUAGCCACCCACCACACAGAAAUUCAAACCCAGAAUUUUUUUUAAAAAAAACAGCAGAGUGGCCCAAUGGUCACAAAAAAUAAUAAAAAUGCAGAAAAAAACACACAAGCUUCCAGAUUCUUGCAAACCCCUCCCCAACACCAAGUCCUUGAAUUCCAAACACGCCAACCCAAAAUCCAAAAAACCAAAAAAAAGUUUUAAAAGUUUAACUUACCAAAUGGCUGCAAAAGAAGUUUUGGAAAAGCUUCAAAAUCGCCAAAGUCUUCAACAACCUCAAAAACGGCUACCACACGGCUCGAAGUCAAGUCGCAACUGCACCUCUUCAAGCAAUGCACCUUGGGUUUUAACGGUUUUACGAAGAAGGAAACAAACUUGCAAGACGUUUUCAUCUUGCGAAGCAAGCCCAUAGGGAAAUUCGUCUUGCGAAGCAGCUCAAAAACCGCAAAACCCUUUCGUCUAGUGAGUUUUUCGUCUUGCGAGGCAUUCGUCUUGCGGGGCACCACUGAAUUAUUAUUAUUAUUAUUAUUAUUAUUGGGGAGAUUUUUGUUAUGAGGGAAGGACUUUUGUUGGGGUGGGUAGAACCAACAUGAUCGGACAGUUACUUAAGUAUUUCUAUUGGUUUACUUGAUCAGGGGGGCAGCCCUCCCCCCUCCCUUGGCUACACCAAUGGGUACCACCAGUGCUCAUCAUACUGUCCAUGCUCUUUCUGACUGUUUUUCCCCCAGGUUGAACACUUUAACCACUGCACCACACUGGCACUGCAAUUCACUCGGUUCAUUCCUGCCUCAUCCUUCUAUGUCAUUUUAGCCAUUUCUUCACUCUUCCUGGUGCCUGUGUUACUUAGCGGUGGCCUGCGUGCCAGGAAAAAAAGCCUAAACUACAUUUUUGUCUUUAUGAAAAGAGCCCAUUUAACGAAAGAAAUGAAUUUUCUUUUUCAGAGAAUGCACAGCUUUUACCAGGUGUUGCAGCUAAUUGCCAGGAAUAAUGAGAUGCCGUCUCAGAAGGGUAAGUUAUAGCAGAAUGGCUCCAAUUAAGCGAUAAAGACCAAGGUCACAAUAACAAAGUUGGCUAGUUCCAGAAAACUUCCAGAUACUUCUUAUUGCAAAGCAAUCCAAAACAGGUGAUAGAUUCUUUUUCUCGAAUACAAAUGGUGACUUGCCACUGGUAAUGAAAUGUGUUACCGUAAGGUGCUAAAUUUUUUAGCUUUGUGCUUGCACCAUCUUUUGAAGAAACCACAGAGUCAACAAACACCUCCAGAGGAUCUCUGUAUUUAACCAAUGAUGACGACAUCUGGAUGACUCAAUAACAUGGUUAGGCAAACUAAGGCCCGGGGCCAGAUGCGGCCCAAUCACCUUCUAAAUCCGGCCCGUGGAUGGUCUGGGAAUCAGCAUGUUUUUACAAGAGUAUAAUGUGUUCUUUUAUUUAAAAAUGCAUCUCUGGGUUAUUUGUGGGACAUAGGAAUUCGUUCUCCCCCCAAAAUAUAUAUAUAUAUAGUCUGGCCCGCCACAAGGUGUGAGGGACAGUGGACCGGCCCCCUGCUGAAAAAGUUUGCUGACCCCUGCUCAAUAACUACACUGAACAUGGAAUAUUUGUAAACUUUAACAAAUUGGCUUAAUUUGUCUAGCUGGUAUUAUGAACUUGGUUUGUGUGGUUAAUUAUGCCUCUACUUCUCUGCUGGCCCAUCUAUCUGAUAACACCUGGAGGAUUUGAAAGAGCAAUUUGAAGGAGGAGAGAUGGCCCCAUGUACAUGUUCAAGGAUGUAGUUUCCUACACAGGACAGCAAAUUAAAGGAAUCACAGUAGAGAACAGGAGUCUUUCAGAAGGCAGAAGGAAUUAGACCUAGAAGAGUGUAAGUUGUGGGUAAGACUAUACUGAUAAACAAUAGUAUAUAGAGGGCAAGGCAGUAAAUAAUUUGGUUGUAGGCAACAUUAGUCCUACUUUGAGGAGACCCAUUAAAAUAAUGGACAUGUCUAAUGUCAGUGAAUAUACUCUAACUGAGUUGGAGAUAACCCACAGAAACACAAGAAUAUUUUUUGUUGUUUUUAGAUUUUAUUUUAUUUUAGAACAAUUAUAUACAUCAAUGUGAGCAACACUUUAAUGUAUUUUUCUUUUUCUUUCUUUCUACAGAGUAGUGGCAUUUUCAUGUCAGAGAACAGGCUUCCUCAACCUCAGCCCUCCAAAUGUUUUGAGACUACAAUUCUCAUCAUCCCUGACCACUGGUCCUGCUAGCUAGGGAUCAUGGGAGUUGUAGGCCAAAAACAUCUGGAGGGCCGAGGUUGAGGAAGCCUGUCAGAUAAUAUAUUCAUAAGGAUAUUGUUGUUGUUUAGACGUUUAGUUGUGUCCGACUCUUCGUGACCCCAUGGACCAGAGCAUGCCAGGCACUCCUGGCUUCCACUGCCUCCCGCAGUUUGGUCAGACUCAUGUUUGUAGCUUUGAGAACACUGUCCAACCAUCUCGUCCUCUGUCGUCGUCCCAUCUCACCAUCUCGUCCUCUGUCGUUAAUUCAUAAGGAUAUAACCAGCCUUUUUCCAAAUUAAAGAAAGAACUUACUUUCUAACCAUGCAGAUGUAGCUUGUCUAGUUUAGGAUCAGCCACGGUUCUUUAUUCUGGUGUAUGGUUCUGGCGGCAGUUGUCUUGUGCUUCUCUUGUAUAUAAAGAAGAUGAAGUUAUUACACUCAGUAAAGGGUGUGCUAGGAGAACAUUUGUCCAGGAUGCAACAUUUGUGCGGAAUAUGGAAAUGUUUACCUAGGAAGCAGGCAGGGGUGUUCCGGGGAGUGGGGGCAGGGAGCAGUCUGCCCCAGGUACCAGUCCAAAGGAGGGGUGACAAAAUGCUGACCUCCGAUCGGCAGCACACCCCAAGGCACACACUGCUUGCCGCGCACCCCCUGGGACUUGUGCCCUGCCCCCUGAGACAAGCGCUGUUCCGGGUACUGGAGCAUGUUGCUUUGCCUCUGGAAGCAGGGAAGCACUCUCAGGAGAUGUGUUAUGUAAGAAAGAAAGAACAGAAGAAUCUGCUGGAUGAGGUCAAAAGCCCAUCUAGACCACCACCCUGUUUUCACAGUGGCCACCAAAUGGCCACUAUGGAAACUGUGAUGGCCUGGGAAUCCGAUUCAGAGGCUGAACCGGAGGAAUCCCAGCCUGCACAGGAGUCCCUGCCUCCAGGGCCGGCUGAACUGGGGCAGGGCCUUGAUUCUGAAGCACCUGCACCUGUGCCGGAUCCUCAGGAGCAGGCACCAGGUGAAUCCACUCUGGCUCCGGAGGUGGUUGAGGACUCAGUGCCUACAGGUGAGUCUCCCCCUGGGUCCAGUAACCCUUCAGCAUCUCCUGAACUGCAGAGGCUCAGGGCAGAGAGGCGGAGGGAACUGGUUUCUCCCAGGAGGAGUGCUCGCCUUAAGGCCAGGAGAGGCGGGUCUCCUGGGGUCCGGGACCGCCCCUGGCCUCAGAGAAGAUAAAGGCCAGUCAGCCCGGUCCCAGGUUGCGGGAGCAACGUCGUUGAAGAGCUGUUUCGGCCAGCACCCAGUCUGGUUCCCCCAGAGUUCCUGUCCUUGCCCAGCUCCUCACUGUGGACCCCACUUCGCCCGUGGAGGACUGUCUGCCGACCCUCGACUCAGGUCCUGGACCUCGCGCCAUGGUAACCUCCCCCCUGGACCAGCACAGAAACCCAUAAACAGAACCCAGGUGCAACAGCAUUCUCCCUGGUUGUGAUUCCCUGACAUGCUGUGUCCAAAGGUUGAGGAAGAACAUAGCCACUGUGGUUAGCAGCCAUUGAUUGUAUUUUUCUUCAUGAAUCAAAGAGACUGGUGAGAGGUGAGAGUUGCUUACAAGAAGAAGGAGGGCAUGAAAUGAAAGUGCUGCUUAGGAGGCACAGAGUAUAUUUUCUUCUCCAGCACUGGUUAAUUGCAAGAGAGUCUUUAUAUAUUAAGAAUAGUUGCUGGUUAUUUUAGAUCAGAGAAUAUUGUUUCCAGUGUAUAGCCAUAGCUGCCUCCUUCUCCUCCACUUUAUCUGAACUUAAGCAAUGCCAAGGAGUUCCAUUUUACUGAGUUGCUUUAUGCACCUUUAGUUCUUUUUCAGUUGUGUGCAUUACCAAAACUAUUUGCACUGGGCUUAAAUACAAAAAUCAAGGCAGUGCCACUGCUUUUCAAUAAUGGAAGCAGUUUUUUACUUCAAUACAUCAUCAGUACUUCACUUUAUGAAUUGUAAUUUCCCACAGAAUAUUGGAGGAUAUUAUUGUGUAGUCUGACAUGGUUUCACUUAACACAUCAGUGAUGAACAAUAGGCCUCUAGUAACUCUAGUUUUGUUUAAUUCUGAAUAGUUGCAGAGGCAAGAUUGAAUAAUGAUCUUAAUCGGUCAAGUUAAAAUGGAAACAUUCUCAGAGGACACACAAUUGUGCUAUUAAAGGAGAGGAUCCAUAAAGAGAUGCUAAAAGGUGUGAGAGAGAUAGUGUGUAUAUGGAGUGCUUGAGAGAGAAGAAACAGAAAAGAAAACUCCAAACUCAGCUGCAAAACAGGAAAGUAAGAUUCAAAAAUAAACGUUUCAGUGCAAUCAGUCACACUUGAUAAUAGCAGCUGAAUAGGAAGAUGAGUAUACUUAAUACCUGAUGACUCAAUACGGGAUGGAAAUCUUUAAUCAUUAAAUGGACUCUGCUGCUUUUGAGUAGUCCCAUUGUGGUCCUCAGGGUAGUUGAACAAAGACAUGAGUAACACAAAACAGAUAGGUCUUUAAAACCUUCAAUGAAUUUCAUGCCAAGAGAAUAGUUUUCUAAUAGAAUACAGGUCUGGUCAUGCACACACUUUCCCUAUGCAACACCAUUUUCAUGUUUCUUUCCAGUUUCCAGAAAAGAUUGCUAUUACCCAAGAUCCAAUGAAAUAAUUUUUUAAUUGAUAUUACUGUGAGUUAAGUGUGCAUAGCUCCUGCAGAAAUAUGCAGCCUGGCAUGCCAGUCCUAACAGCCUUAGGAUGACCACUUUUGCAUCCCCAAAAGAAAGGACAAAAGAGAACACAGAUUUGCAUAACAUGUGUGAAGGCUUAUGUAAAGUGCUAUUUUUCUAGAAAAAGAGGUAGUGGAACUCUCCAUGAAUGCCUCCCUUGUCUUAUAAUGGCAAUUGCAUCCAGCUAAGAGGUGCUGGAACUAGAUAGCACAGUUGGUUUGAGUGUGGUUUCUGAUAACGCCAAGGGAUCGAUCCUCAUAUGGGAUAGUUGCAUAUUUCUGCAUUGCAGGGAGUUGCUCCAAUCAGCUACAUCGGCUAUCAGAGGCCUUUUGAGUGUCAAAUUCUCCUUGCUGUCCUCUUUACUCACAACUGCACCCAUCUUGCUAGCUACCAAACUACUUACUGAUUGCAAAGAUUGUUUGAAGUGACAUGGAUUAAGGAUUAGUUAGAGGCGUCUCAAAUGAUCUCUGAUGUAAAAGGUAAGGUAAAGGUGAAAGACCACUAGAUGGUUAAGUCCAGUCAAAUUCAACUAUGGGGUGUUGAGCUCAUCUCCGCUUUCAGGCUGAGGGAGCCAGCGUUUGUCCGCAGACAAUUUUUCCAGGCCAUGUGGCCAGCAUGACUAAACUCCUUCUGGCACAACAGGACACCUUGACAAGUGCCAGAGCACACAGAAAUGCCAUUUAUCUUCCUGCCACAGUGGUACCUAUUUAUCUACUCAUGCUGAUAUGCUUUCAAACUGCUAGGUUGGCAGGAGCUGGGACAAAGCAAUGGCAGCUCACCCCAUCGCGGGGAUUUGAACUGCCAACCUUCCGAUCGGCAAGCCCAAGUGGCUCAGUGGUUUAGACCACAGCACCACUCUGAUGUAGUAGCUUUCUAAGGCAAAUCUUGACUGCCUUUUCCUCUGCCAGUUAGUUUGCUGUUUUGAAAAGCACAAAGAGGGUCACUGAUUAAUUUCUCGUUCAGCAGAUAAAACUACAGGUUAGAUUUUCCAGUGGGAUCAUUUCUUUGGAACAUUGUUUGGAUAAUGAUAAUGAUGAUGAUGAUGAUGAUGAUGAUGAUGAUGAUGAUUAUUUCUCAGUGAAAGGGCUUAAUGUUCGUUAUCUGGCAACUUUGUUGCAGCUGCAGAAGUAUGUGGGAGCCUUGGUCUCUUCUACAACCCUAGAAGAGCUCAAUGUAUGCAAAGGGGAUCCCCAGAUUUGUUUCUGACUGGAGAAUUCCUGAGCAUUGAAGGAAAGGGGCUGUCCUUGAUUGCACAUCAUGUUUUUUUGCAUGGUGGUGAAUCUCCUGAAAGUUUUUGGAUUGUUCCUUUUAUCUUUUAGCUCUGUAGUUAAUUAAUUGACAAACUGUGCUGAUUAAUCAGUGAUAGCUUUCCAUCCUACCAUCUGCAGCUUCCUUUUUACUGAAAUAUGUAAAUUUAUGUAGCACAACUAAUUAAGACAACAUAAGGUAUGGAACAAUUUUCUGAAUGGAUCUUAUCCAUAUGGAACCAAAAAUAAGUUUUUUUCCCCUAAGGGCUAAAUCAUCUGUUGCUGAUUUCAACGUUACAGAUUCUGACUAGUGAACACUACAAAACUCACUUAUUGCAAUAACUCUGGUAUAUUUUUUUCCACAUGUUGGCUGUCUUGUUUUUUGUCUGCUGCUUUUAUUAUUUAUAUUUCAUGGUUGCUUUGGUAUCUUUAUAUUGCGAUGAUCAGUUGUCGUGUUUUGUUGCUCUUGGGAUUUCUCUUUCUGCCUCUUUCUUCUUCUUUUUGACACUUUCUGGAGCUUGUCAGAUGUUAUCCCAAUAACAGGUGCUGUCAGAUCCCUCAGUCCAGAAUGUGUCUUCCUGUCAGUCAAUUUCAACACUCUCCAAGAGGAUGCUCUCAAAAAGAGGGGAGCCAUCCACCCAACAAUGCUGUGCAAACUCCAUUUCCCCAGAUUGCUUUGGCUUUUCCAGCACCCAAACAGAAUAUUUUGAAGCAGGCCUUCCCUUUGCCCUUCUGAUCUUGACAACACUCUGGAUUAAUCACAGGAACCAAUCACACCAAUCACAGGAACAAAGAACUCAGCCAACCCUGCUUGUCACUUCUAAGACUGGAACAUUUCUUGUUAACAGCCAGAGUAAUAUAUAAUCUGUUGGGGGCAAAAUGCUGUGACCAGCCUUUUAUCAUGCUUUUUUUCCAGAUAGUACACUCUCACUCAGCCCUUAGGCUAGCCUUGGGCCAAACCAAGUUAAAUGGGCUAAGACAGAGAAACCUAGAUGUCAUUAUUGCUUUAUGCAAGCAUUCUGUGAUAUGCAUGCUCGUUGCAGGUUUUGUAUGUAUGCGACCCUGAAAUGUAAACCAAUUUUACACUGGUAGAUCUACUUUGACAAUGAAAAGCAAGCAAGACAAUCAUCAUUACAGUAUUGAUUGUGUGUGUACGUGUGUGUUGGGGGAAGAGCC